rnacentral:rRNA from 1 species
GACGAACUGUCCUAACGUUGUUCGGAAUCACUGGGCUUAAAGGGCGCGUAGGCGGUCGAUCAAGUCAGGGGUGAAAUCCUGCAGCUUAACUGUAGAAGUGCCUUUGAUACUGGUCGUCUCGAGGGAGGUAGGGGUGUGUGGAACUUCCAGUGGAGCGGGGAAAUGCGUUGAUAUUGGAAGGAACGCCGGAGGCGAAAGCGACGCACUGGACCUCUUCUGACGCUGAGGCGCGAAAGCUAGGGGAGCAAACGGG